GACGAACGCUGGCGGCGUGCUUAACACAUGCAAGUCGAACGGAAAGGCCCUGCUUGUGUGGGGUGCUCGAGUGGCGAACGGGUGAGUAACACGUGAGUAACCUGCCCUUGACUUUGGGAUAACUUCAGGAAACUGGGGCUAAUACCGGAUAGGAGCUCCUGCUGCAUGGUGGGGGUUGGAAAGUUUCGGCGGUUGGGGAUGGACUCGCGGCUUAUCAGCUUGUUGGUGGGGUAGUGGCUUACCAAGGCUUUGACGGGUAGCCGGCCUGAGAGGGUGACCGGCCACAUUGGGACUGCGAUACGGACCAGACUCCUACGGGAGGCAGUAGUGGGGAAUAUUGCACAAUGGGCGGAAGCCUGAUGCAGAAACGCCGCGUGCGGGAUGACGGCCUUCGGGUUGUAAACCGCUUUCGCCUGUGACGAAGCGUGAGUGACGGUAAUGGGUAAAGAAGCACCGGCUAACUACGUG
rnacentral:rRNA from 1 species